CAGACCUCUAAUCGGAAAAGACCACCCGCUGAGU
rnacentral:rRNA from 3 species